GAAGAGAUAAUCUCAAACAACAGUAUAUGACUCAAACUCUCCUCCUCCUCCCAUAAGCACAAUUCCCUGAAAGGCUUCUUCUAAGCCUGGUAUCCUGGGAGUGGCAGUGUUUUCAGCGUGGCAGACGGAGCAGUCAGGAAGCUGGGAGCCCAAACAGCGUGAGACAAAGCCACAAAACAGAGGCCGCGCAUCAGUCG
rnacentral:lncRNA from 1 species